CGAACGGGUGAGUAAUGCGUGACCAACCUGCCCCAUGCUCCAGAAUAGCUCUUGGAAACGGGUGGUAAUGCUGGAUGCUCAACUUGACGCAUGUCUUGUUGGGAAAGUGUUUAGUGGCAUGGGAUGGGGUCGCGUCCUAUCAGCUUGUAGGCGGGGUAAUGGCCCACCUAGGCUUCGACGGGUAGCCGGCCUGAGAGGGCGGACGGCCACAUUGGGACUGAGAUACGGCCCAGACUCCUACGGGAGGCAGCAGCC
rnacentral:rRNA from 1 species